rnacentral:rRNA from 1 species
CCUACGGGUGGCAGCAGUGGGGAAUUUUGCGCAAUGCUCGUAAGACUGACGCAGCGACGCCGCGUGAAUGACGAAGGCCUUCUGGUUUUAAAGCUCUUUCUACAGGGAAGAAAAUGCCUACAAGUAACUGUGUAUGCAUUUACGGUACGUGUAUACGCCGCCUCGGCUAACUCCGUGCCACGAGCCGCGGCAAUACGGAGGGGGCGUGCGUUGUUCGGAUUUACUGGGCGUAAAGGGCACGUAGGCGGUGUUGUAAGUCAUCAGGCAAAGAGUAGAGCUCAACUUUAGUAAGGCUGGUGAUACUAGAAUACUAGAGUAUGAGAGAGGAAGGCAGAAUGCGUGGUGUAGCGGUGAAAUGCGUAGAUAUCAGGAAGAAUACCGUUAGCGAAGGCAGCAAUCUGGCUGAAAACUGACGCUGAGGUGCGAAAGCGUGGGUAGCAAACAGGAUUAGAUACCCGAGUAGUC